UCCCGGCAGUCGCUGACAUGAGGCAACCUCUGGCCUGGCAGCAAGGAGAAGGUUCGAAUCCCGGCGGCCCCGGACCUGCUCCUCUGGAUAUCAUCGGGCUGAGAUAGCAGCGGAUGGAUGUCACCCUUAGCAGGGUUGCUCAAUCCUUGAACAAACAGGGAAACUUCUUUAUUUAAAUCCAACUAACUUCCCGCGAAGCAGCACCCCCUCAGGCCCCUGAGUUGAGCCCCAGCUUGAAGUAAAAGUCAAGAAUCCCAGCUCUCUGGCUGGCAGUUGCUACCAACUAGUCCAACCUGACCACAGGCACGAAAAUUAAUGAGCUCCAUCUUUGGCAUGGGUUUGAAAAUUCCACUGUGGCAUUGGCAGGGCUUACACCGGCACCGGAACUUUAAAGAAGCCCCACGCUGAAAGCUACAAGGA